UACGGAGGGUGCAAGCGUUGUCCGGAUUUAUUGGGUUUAAAGGGUGCGUAGGCGGCCUAUUAAGUCAGUGGUGAAAUCCUGCAGCUUAACUGUAGAACAGCCAUUGAUACUGAUGGGCUUGAGUUCAGACGAGGUAGGCGGAAUUUAUGGUGUAGCGGUGAAAUGCAUAGAUACCAUAAAGAACACCGAUUGCGAAGGCAGCUUACUAGACUGAAACUGACGCUGAGGCGCGAAAGCGUGGGGAUCAAACAGG
rnacentral:rRNA from 1 species